ensembl:lncRNA
AAAGAUGCUCACCAUUUGCUUUUCGCAAAACACAUUCGUCUGCAGGACCAGAUUUCUCCAGGAUCACAUCCUUCCAAGGAAACGCAGACCUGAUUGAUGCGGAGUCAGACAAAAUUACCAGAAUCAUCCAGGGUAAGAGUGGCCCCACACGACCUGUUAAAGACUUAUCAUUGGACUGGAGAUGAAGCUUGAUCCAUGGACGCAAGUGCAAGUUAUCUAUUUACUGAUUUGUCAUGUCUCCUUCCAGGUGGAGGACAAUUGCAGGCUAAAAGAGCACCAGGUAAAUAAAUGUAAAACAAUUCCCUUGCUUCGGUUUACAGUAACUGUGCACACACAGACAACCGUAUAAAAAGUUAAACAUGGCGAAAAAAGACUUAACAUAACAUUUGCUCACCAGUCAAACAGACUGGAACGAGGAGGAGGAACCGACUGGUGCGUCGCCACCCCAAGCGCACACAGAAACAGUAAAGUAGUCAUCACAGACCGGGUGCGACUUCUUUACACAGACACAGAUGAGGAACAACUGCGAUCGUGACAUCUAAUGGACAUUUACCUUGUUCUCCUGUGAAGGAGUUCAAGAAAUCGAGGAGGUGUGGGAUUAAGGUUGAUCUUGAUGACCCUUGAAUGAACUGAUCUCAAUCGGCCUGGAAGCUGAGAGGGCAUGGACUGACCAGCAUCCACAACGUCAAAAAUGCAAAGAAAUAUAUACAGUGUCUACAAUGUGUAUUUAAAAUGUUUAUGUUAAGUGGGAUUUUAAAUUCUGCUGUGGUGUAUGGGGUCUUUGAGGGAUAUGUGAGUUAUCUUGACAGUCAGUGUUGUUACUUUGUUUGUUUGUUUGUUUUGGAAAGCGGAUACAUUGCUUCUUUGAAAUGGGUGGUAAUAAUGGAUGACUUACUUUUGGUGCUUACAUUCAUACAUUUGAAUGUAUUUUUUUAUAGAUCUGAAACAGACGUUGCAGUUAUUUGCUGUAACUUACAGUACUUUGGACAAUUUGUCAACAAGCUCAUGUUUUUUUAUAUUGUUACAUCUUAUCUUUGUGGACUUCCAUAAUAUCUUUCUCCUCUUUGUAUCUGGUAUUUUUGGAGCAUUUUGCCCUUGGAUGGCAUGUUUUUAACCUGUAUGCUUCCAGGCUGAUUGGCUGGAUUCAACAGUUAUUUAUCAAUCAUUUUCCAUCAAUGGUAAAGGCCUUCCUGUUGCGACUCCAACAAGCCUCUGCACCUUUGCCUCUGUUUGAAAACAGAGUUAAAUAAAAAAUAUACUCUUGAAAGGGAAUUCAGUCUUCCUUUUGGCUUUGGCAUUGGGAUCUUUGGAAAUUAAAACUUUAUUUAAUAAAAACGGUAU